rnacentral:rRNA from 1 species
CAUAGCGACUAUCGUGGCAUAUCAAUAAGCGGAGGAAAAGAAACUAACAAGGAUUCCCUUAGUAACGGCGAGUGAAGCGGGAAGAGCUCAAAUUUGAAAUCUUCAAGGUUUUACCUUGACGAAUUGUAGUUUAAAGAAGUGUUUUCUGUUGGAGUUUUGGUAAAAGUUCUUUGGAAUAGGACAUCAUAGAGGGUGAGAAUCCCGUAUUUGACUAUUCUUUCUAGCUGUGUGAUACACUUUCAAAGAGUCGGAUUGUUUGGGAAUGCAGUCCAAAAUGGGUGGUAAAUUUCAUCUAAAGCUAAAUAUUGGCGAGAGACCGAUAGCGAACAAGUACCGUGAGGGAAAGAUGAAAAGAACUUUGAAAAGAGAGUUAAACAGUACGUGAAAUUGUCAAAAGGGAAGCGUUUGACACCAGUGUUGUUUUCUCGAAAAUCAAUUAAAAAUGAUGGGAUUUUGUGUUGUAUUGACUUUAUCAGCUUUCUGCACUUUUUUCUUAUCUUUUUUAAUGCACUUUUCGUUUAACAAGUCAACAUCAAUUUCUUUUGUUGUAAAAGAGUCAUUGGAAGGUGGCUUUUUCUUCGGAAAAAGUGUUUAUAGCCUUUGGCUUCUGCAAUCGGAGAGAUUGAGGUCUGCAGCGUAGAUCCUUCGGGGUUAGAUACAUUUGUGCUAAGCUAUAGUUCUUUAUAGACAACUUGUUGACUAUAAUCAAUCCUGUAACUUACUCGCUUAUGCUAUUUUACCUACGCUUAGGAUGUUGAUAUGCAUGACUGAUAU